rnacentral:misc_RNA from 1 species
GGACGUUCUAGUGGAGGCACAAAUUCAUAAAGAGAUAAACAUAUAUGAUCACCCAGCAAACGCAAUGCAAUUAAAACCUCAUAAAACACAAAAAUCACAUGCUCCCAGAAGCAUAGAUUAAAUCUACAGGUAAUAUUGUACGCCCAAUUUAAAAGUGCACAAGCAUUGGUUCAUUUGGUAAAAUACUAGGCUGUUUUAAGAUUAUGGACAAUAUUCAGGUUUGUCAUAGAAGGUCAACCAAGUCUAAGACUGGAAAACAACAACAACCAAAAAACAAAAAAAAAGAGGAAGAAUGUGCAUGAAUUCCAUAGAUAAAGUGAUUACACAUAUCUAGAAAUUUGUAUCAUAAAAGAGGCAUUUUCAUUGAACACCAGCCAUUCUAUUGUAUCAAUCAAAUGUUCACUAGAU